UAUAGGUGUCUUUUGUGAGCAUCUAAAAAAAACUAUGACCACAAUUCACAAAGGAAUGAAGUUUGCAGUGUGUGGAACCACAUCUAAAUGGGACUUGAUAAGAAAGCCAGCUAAGGUCAGGCAAGCAGAAAAUCCCUGAAGGACUGCAUGACAGUGUGAAUGCUCACAUAAUGCAGGAAGAUGGCUGAGGAUGGUCCUGGAUACUGACGGAUGAAUAAAUUCACCAGGGGAGAAGUUGCAUCGAAUAAUCUGCCGUAAAAUUUUAGGCAUGCGCAUAAAAAUAGUCGCGCGUCAAAAUUAUUCAGACGCCCAUUGACUUUAAUGUAUUUGGACAAAAUAGGCACGCAUAUAAAAAUUGUCAUGGGCGUCAAAAUUGAAACGCGUCAAAGUUAUUUUGGUGGCCAUUGACUUCAAUGCGUUUCACAAACUUUUCGCAGUUUCUCAAAUUUGUCUGUAAAUUCGCAAAUUUUUCAGCAAAGUGAAACAGGACAAAUUCACCCACCACUAGUUCUGAAGAGAAAAGCACAACAUAAAUUCACAAACCCUAUCAUAUGUGCCUGAAUGUUAGCGAAUUAAUCAGAAAGUAAAGAAUCUUUAUACCAACUUUAAAAGCUAUUGCAGUGCUUUUCUUUUUUUUUUGUAACUUAUAUUUCAUUGAAAAGAUUGACAUCCCCAUACAAUAAACAGCAAGUUGGGUACAAAGCUAGCACCCUCAAGUUUCAUACAAAUCCGAACCCCAGCCUACUGUCUAAAAUAGAUAACAGAAAGUCACAGUGCGAUCUAGUUACUAUAGAUGAGAUGAGAACGAUUCCCAUUUCCUUUUUUUUUCUUGCAGUGCUUUUCAAGCCAAAAAUGCUGCAAAAUGUUUAUUCUUUGGCAGAGCCUUUUAUACACAAAUCUUUGGCUGUGAUGUGGUUAAAAAAUAUGAAGCCCUUCAUUCUUAAAAAAACAACACAACAAAAUUUGCAAAGAUAAAAAUUACUUUCUCCGCAUAGGAGACUUGGUAAUUCAGAGUUUAUACCCUAUAUCAGGCAUGCAUUGACCUUAUUGAUUUGAGAUCUUGGAUUAAGAAUAUCCUCCUGAGCAAAGCUAUCAACUUCUGCUAUGGAAGUCUUAAACAUUGAUUUUUAGACACUGUAUACAAGUUUUUUCAAAGAGGAAAACAUUCACUUGCAUGUAUAAAUCAUAUCACUAGAACCUUAUUUUCAAUGUUCUGAAUUUGCUCAACAUCUAGGUUUAAAUGAAACCUUUUUUUUGGAAACCAGUCUGAAGAUUACUGGAUCCUGAAAAAUGGCCAGAUUUGUAAAAACCCUAAGUGUAUCUCAAGUGUUGUAUGCUAUGUGAUAUAGAAUACUAUGUUAUGGAUAUAAAGGCCCGAUGUAAGAUUUUUUCAUUUCUAUAAUCUUCUUCUUUAAACUUUGUCUACAGCAGGGUUGUACUUAAAUACAUUGUUUUUUCCUGAAUUGUAGUAUAUGCAUCUCGGUGACAAAAUGUGUGAAGGUUUACGAUAUUAAAAGCUUUGUGAACACA